GAGUAUGUUCUCUAAUAGAUUGACAAUGCAAUAAUGAAACAAUGUUAACUGGGACAACGUUAAGUGAGGAGUACUGUGCUAUUAUUACUAUUGUUGUUGUGCUAGAUCAAGGAUAUCACAAUUAGCCCCCAUUUCCUAAAUCAGCAGGGCCAACCUUUUUUGGGAGGCAUGCCACAAAUUAGCCCCACACCUUCACCCAGUCUCCUUCUCCUGCCUGAUCUGCUGCUCUGCUCUGCUCCCUACCCGAUCUGCCACCAUGGUGCCUGUGCCCUCCCUGGUCAGCCAUGAGCCACAGACAAAAGUGGCCUGUGACACUCAUGGCAUGUAUGCCACAGGUUGGCCAUCCCGGGGCCUAAAUUACAGUAUUAUCUCUUAACAUAAAAGAAGUGAGUGAUGUUUGGGCUGAAAAAUAUGCUUUGCUUCCAGCAGUGGUAGCAGAGAGACCAACAAUUGCAUCGCACAUCUGUAACUCUGCAGUUCUCAUUCCCCCCAGGCCUGCCUGCAUACUUCCUAUGAGCUCUAAGGGACUUUAAGGCACUUAUACUCUUGUCUGGUAUUUUUAACAUUCACUUUGCACCAGUAUAAUUUUAUGACAACUGAAAAACCUUCAUUGGGAACUUCACCUCCCUUAUAGCAACCUUUGACCUGUUUGAAGACUAUCAUCAAGUCUCAACUCAAGUCUUCUGUCCUCAAUACUUACUAAAUAAGCCCAGUUCAUUCACUC